UGAUAUCCUCUCCUUGCGCCUACCUGGGCUAUGAUGUCAGCAGCCGUCGUCUGUCGGACGGUGUCGCUGUAGAAGAAGAGCAAAAGUCCCAGCCACACCGUGUACCCCAUCUCUUGAGCUCUCUACUCCUGGCCACGUCUGAAAGUGCUGAAGUGACUCCAGGGAGCUCGAUGAAGGAAGCACGCUGACCGGGCCCGCCGCCUUGCUUUCCGGACGCGACACCUGGAAUAUGAACGCCCUACCGGUUAAGCGACACUCUGGUUUGCUGUUCUGCAACCUGCGAGGCAGUUCACGCGAAAGCAGCUGCGUAAGAGUAGACGCAUUAGUCGAUCGAACUCUUCGUGUCCCACAACAUGGCUGCACCCAAAGUGGUUGACAAGUGAACGCGUCUUCAGCACAGUAUUUGUCUUACACCUUUCAACGUGUCAGAGGGGUGUAUUUUGACUCCCGCACCUUUCACCACGUGACAUCGACCCACGUGACACCGUACACAGUUUCGUCGCGAAACAAGCUCCUCCGGUGCAGUUGUAGAACGUUUCGUUCCUUGCCAAGCCCCCGGGACCAAGAUAGCCACUGAAAGCAGUUCCGAAGCCGCACUCAUAAGCCCGAAGCCGUUACAACACAAGGUAUACAACAAGUGUACCACAUGGAAAAACUUCAUAAUCCAUUAUUGGAGGAGCAACAUGCACGCUAAUAAACCCACUGCGUCCUGGCGAAGUGACCUCAUGAUGGACCUCGUUACUGGAAGCUGAGCAGGACUAUGUGCGCACGUUUCCAAAACCAUUACCGAUGAAAAGCUUCUUUGGAAUCGCACUUCAAAAGUUCUGCUUAUCAAUCAUAACGCCAAUGUAGAAGCAAGAAAACUUACGGUAGUGGAUGUUCACCGGAUCCUGGGUUACUUCCCUUGUACAGGUUCCAUCGUACGAUAUAUUCAAAAGAUCCCACAGAAGAGUUGCUACAGAAGUGUUACAAGAGAGCCACCAGAGCGGGCCAGCAAAGAAGUCCUAUACAGCAUCAAGCCAAGGAUCUCACCAGAAGCCUACUAGAGCAUGCUGCAAGGAAAGCCAUACCGUGUCUGUAGCAGAUGAACUUUCAAUGGAAAAUGAGACUUUGCAGCUGCUCGCUAUGUUGAUGCUAUGUAAUACUGAUGUGAUUACAUCAUACCAGGAGGUCAGGCCGGGCCUCCAUGAUCAUGUCGCUGAGCUCGUAGCUUUUCCUUUACAGCAUUUUUGUAAAUUAAAUUAAAUUGUAGUUAUUAA